rnacentral:lncRNA from 1 species
CACUCCAUACUCUUGCCUCAGCCUCUUGAGCUGCUGAGAUUAUAGGUGUGCACCUAGCCCAUACUUAGUUUGAUUUUUAAUCUUAAAUUUACAGAUAAUUGUGUAUGUGUCUGCAUGUUGAAUUUGACAAGUAAAAAGAUUCUGAUACUGAAUGCAAAAAUGUGUUUAGGGGCAUUUUUUGAUACCCAAGUAAUAGGACCCUUAGAUAUCUUAGUACCUUCAUCAAGUAUGUUGGCAAGAGUGGGAGUAAGGCCACAACCAGGAAAAAUUGAUAUGUGAUGACAGAUUAGAACAUAAAUUCUGUAUCUCUUAUCCAAAAUGCUUAAAAAUAGAUGCUUGAAUUUUUAAUUUUCAUCAGGUUUUGUAAUAUUUGGAUAUGUGUACAUUUGGAGUUAUCUUAGGCAUGACACCCAGUUUCAAACAUGGAAUUCAUUUGUUUCAAACAUCAUAAAAUAAAGAGCCCUAAGGAAGUUUUAAGCAAUAUUUUUACUGUGGUUGGAUUUUGAUUGUGAUCCAUCACAUGAGGUCAAAUGUGAAGUUUUUCAUUUGUGCUCUCAUGCCACUACUUAAAAUAUUUUGGAUUUGGGGGUAUUUCAUAUUUCAGAUUUUUAAAUUAUGUAUGCUCAAGCUAUUGCAGUUCAAUAUGAAUGACAGUUAAUAUUAAAGGGCAAAGAAGAGUCUCCUGUGAGCUGCAAAUCUUCAACAUCCUAACUUGGAGAAUGGUUUAAUAUGUUAAAAUGAAUGUUUUAUAUGAUAAACAGAACUUAAAAUGCAUUAAGAUGCAUGUAGCAAAAUGAGUCUGAAUUACCAAUAUUCAGAAUAAAAUUUUUAUUUUGUUAUUGUAAUUUAAGUGGUUUAGUGGUUUAACUGGUGUUGGAUUGAGUCAAAAUUACUUUUUAAAAUCAGGAACAGAGGGAGGUCCAAUUUUAAUUUAUAAUUUUAAUGGCACUAAGAUUUUCAGUUUGCUUCAUGUUAUUACUAAUGGAAUAUUAUAGUUUACUAGUCAGUUGAUGAAAAUAUCCUGAGAAUAAAAUCUAUGCACUGUUAAAAAAGAGAUGCAUAUUUCAUACUAGCAUACUUUACUAGAUGUUUACUUAAAAAUUAUAAAUAGAAAUUAUAAACAAAAUUUUAUUGUUUAGCAUUCAUAGAUAUGUGCUUCUGUUUCUCACAAGUGAAAUGGUACCACAUAUAUUAUGCAUGACCAAUAUGUAUUUAUUAAACAUAAAAAAGAUAAGAUAUAGUUUUGGUAAAAUAUAUUUCAAUAAGUAAUUGUUUCUAAUUUCAGACACUUGCAAAAUGCAUUAAUUAUUUAGUAUGAAAAUCUAUUAAUUUGUAAACUGAAUUCUAAAUUUUAUGACAUAUCCUUCAGUUUUCUAAAAUACUAUAUAUCUAAGGCAAUUUAAAAACUCUAGUCAAAAUAAUGUACCUUCAUAGGUCAAUGUUUUUAAUCUAAGAUGAUUUUAAUGACAAAAGGGAGAAAAUCAAAUGCCUGGAAAUCUGUAACAAUUCAUAAAUAGGAUUGACAGAGAAAUAUGCUUAAAUAUCUUUAAUUUUUUUUUUGUAGUUUUAGAUGGGCAGCAUGACUUUUUUAUUUGUUUAUAUUUAUGUGGUGCUGGAGAUCAAACCAAGUCCAGUGCCUUACACAUGGGAGGCAAGUGCUCUGCUACUGAGCAGAUCCAGCCCAUGCUUAAAUAUCUUUUAAGAUUUUCUUGACUUUGUUCUUCUUCCCUAUGGAACUUGCUUUUCUAUAGUUGCACAGGAUAAAUCAUGUAAAAAUUAUUUAAUUCUUCUGUAGUUCUUCCCACAGAUUUGUUUUGUUUUAG